rnacentral:rRNA from 1 species
CCUACGGGAGGCAGCAGUGGGGAAUUUUGGACAAUGGGCGCAAGCCUGAUCCAGCAAUGCCGCGUGAGUGAAGAAGGCCUUCGGGUUGUAAAGCUCUUUUGUCAGGGAGGAAACGGCUGAGGAUAAUACCUUCGGCUAAUGACGGUACCUGAAGAAUAAGCACCGGCUAACUACGUGCCAGCAGCCGCGGUAAUACGUAGGGUGCAAGCGUUAAUCGGAAUUACUGGGCGUAAAGCGUGCGCAGGCGGUUUUGUAAGUCUGACGUGAAAUCCCCGGGCUCAACCUGGGAAUUGCGUUGGAGACUGCAAGGCUGGAGUCUGGCAGAGGGGGGUAGAAUUCCACGUGUAGCAGUGAAAUGCGUAGAGAUGUGGAGGAACACCGAUGGCGAAGGCAGCCCCCUGGGUCAAGACUGACGCUCAUGCACGAAAGCGUGGGGAGCAAACAGGAUUAGAUACCCUGGUAGUCCACGCCCUAAACGAUGUCUACUAGUUGUCGGGUCUUAAUUGACUUGGUAACGCAGCUACGCGUGAGUAGACGCCGNGGGAGGUACGGUCGGUCGAGAGUUAAACGUACGUUAAGAAGUAGAGGNGNGNGAGNGCGAGGCGACGACGAGGGAGGAGG